rnacentral:tRNA from 2 species
GCAGGUAUAGUUUUAACGAAAAUGUUGGAUUGUGAUUCCAAAGAUAGGGGUUCAAGCCCCCUUACCCGCC